rnacentral:rRNA from 1 species
GACGAACGCUGGCGGCGUGCUUAACACAUGCAAGUCGAACGGAAAGGCCCUGCUUUUGUGGGGUGCUCGAGUGGCGAACGGGUGAGUAACACGUGAGUAACCUGCCCUUGACUUUGGGAUAACUUCAGGAAACUGGGGCUAAUACCGGAUAGGAGCUCCUGCUGCAUGGUGGGGGUUGGAAAGUUUCGGCGGUUGGGGAUGGACUCGCGGCUUAUCAGCUUGUUGGUGGGGUAGUGGCUUACCAAGGCUUUGACGGGUAGCCGGCCUGAGAGGGUGACCGGCCACAUUGGGACUGCGAUACGGCCCAGACUCCUACGGGAGGCAGCAGUGGUGAAUAUUGCACAAUGGGCGGAAGCCUGAUGCAGCAACGCCGCGUGCUGGAUGACGGCCUUCGUGUUGUAAACCGCUUUCGCCUGUGACGAAGAGUGAGUGACGGUAAUGGGUAAAGAAGCACCGGCUAACUACGUG